rnacentral:rRNA from 1 species
GAUGAACGCUGGCGGCGUGCCUAAUACAAGCAAGUCGAGCGAACAGACGAGGAGCUUGCUCCUCUGACGUUAGCGGCGGACGGGUGAGUAACACGUGGAUAACCUACCUAUAAGACUGGGAUAACUUCGGGAAACCGGAGCUAAUACCGGAUAAUAUAUUGAACCGCAUGGUUCAAUAGUGAAAGACGGUUUUGCUGUCACUUAUAGAUGGAUCCGCGCCGCAUUAGCUAGUUGGUAAGGUAACGGCUUACCAAGGCAACGAUGCGUAGCCGACCUGAGAGGGUGAUCGGCCACACUGGAACUGAGACACGGUCCAGACUCCUACGGGAGGCAGCAGUAGGGAAUCUUCCGCAAUGGGCGAAAGCUUGACGGAGCAACGCCGCGUGAGUGAUGAAGGUCUUCGGAUCGUAAAACUCUGUUAUUAGGGAAGAACAAAUGUGUAAGUAACUAUGCACGUCUUGACGGUACCUAAUCAGAAAGCCACGGCUAACUACGUG